GAAAGACAGCAAGAUGAAUACAACUAUCUGAAUAGUUCAACACACUGGUGAUAUCGCUGAGAAAGUGAGAAUACAGCUGCUGAUUGGCUUCAGCGUGCCCUGUAUCAAGCUGACUCCCUUGAGACGUUCAGACUCCUUACAGACCAGCACACUCUCACCUGGAUCAGAGUCGUGUUUUCACUUUGAAUAGGCAAGGUCAAUAUGUCCAGCAGGUGGCCGUUGAAGACCGGGGUACGGAUGAUGACGCGUCGCGCCGGAAGGUUCACGCCAGAAGA